AGAACGAACGCUGGCGGCAUGCCUAACACAUGCAAGUCGAACGCUUUUGGGGCUUCGGUCCCAAAGGAGUGGCGCACGGGUGAGUAGCGCGUGGGAACCUGCCCUCCGGUUCGGAAUAGCUCAGGGAAACUUGGAUUAAUACCGGAUACGGCUGAGAGGCGAAAGAUUUAUCGCCGGAGGAUUGGCCCGCGUUCGAUUAGCUUGUUGGUGAGGUAACGGCUCACCAAGGCGAUAAUCGAUAGCUGGUCUGAGAGGAUGAUCAGCCACAUUGGGACUGAGACACGGCCCAAACUCCUACGGGAGGCAGCAGUGGGGAAUAUUGGACAAUGGGCGCAAGCCUGAUCCAGCCAUGCCGCGUGAGUGAUGACGGCCUUAGGGUUGUAAAGCUCUUUCGCUCGGGACGAUAAUGACGGUACCGAGAUAAGAAGCCCCGGCUAACUUCGUGCCAACAGCCGC
rnacentral:rRNA from 1 species